GACGAACGCUGGCGGCGUGCCUAAUACAUGCCAGUCGAGCGGACGGAUGGGAGCUUGCUCCCAGACCGUCAGCGGCGGACGGGUGAGUAACACGUGGGCAACCUGCCUGUAAGACUGGGAUAACUCCGGGAAACCGGGGCUAAUACCGGAUAACUCUUUCCCUCACAUGAGGGAAAGCUGAAAGAUGGCAUCUCGCUAUCACUUACAGAUGGGCCCGCGGCGCAUUAGCUAGUUGGUGAGGUAACGGCUCACCAAGGCGACGAUGCGUAGCCGACCUGAGAGGGUGAUCGGCCACACUGGGACUGAGACACGGCCCAGACUCCUACGGGAGGCAGCAGUGGGGAAUCUUCCGCAAUGGACGAAAGUCUGACGGAGCAACGCCGCGUGAGUGAUGAAGGUUUUCGGAUCGUAAAACUCUGUUGUCAGGGAAGAACAAGUACCGGAGUAACUGCCGGUACCUUGACGGUACCUGACCAGAAAGCCACGGCUAACUACGUG
rnacentral:rRNA from 1 species